rnacentral:rRNA from 1 species
UACGUAGGGUGCGAGCGUUGUUCGGAAUUAUUGGGCGUAAAGGGCUCGUAGGCGGUCUGUCGCGUCGGGUGUGAAAACUCAGGGCUUAACCCUGAGCCUGCUUCCGAUACGGGCAGACUAGAGGUAUGCAGGGGAGAACGGAAUUCCUGGUGUAGCGGUGAAAUGCGCAGAUAUCAGGAGGAACACCGGUGGCGAAGGCGGUUCUCUGGGCAUUACCUGACGCUGAGGAGCGAAAGUGUGGGGAGCGAACAGG